GACGAUUUUUCAUAAUGUCUACGAUUAUUGUUAUUAUUAUAAUAUCAUUACGUUUACAGCGCGAUUUACAAUAUUAUAAUAUACGCACACCCCUAAUUUAUACGAGCUCGCAUACGCCUAUGUUUACUCUCUGCGACGCAUUAUUAUCGCGAUGCCGCGUGUUACGGUCUCUUGUUCAAUUCGGAUUAAUUUUUUUAUACAAUUCAAUUUAAUUUUUUUUUUUUUGCUUUUUCCUCCACUUUUUCUGAAACUUUGUGUUCGCAACACAAUAUUAUUAUUGUACACACUAUUAUU